CCUACCUCUCUCUCUCUACCUCUCUCUACCUCUCUCUCUCUACCUCUCUCUCUCUCUCUACCUCUUCAUCCUCCUCUCCCUUCACCCCUCUCUCCCGGUCCCAUUCCUCUCUCCCUAUUCUGACCUAAUCACAGAUCAUUAGUUGCCAUGACAUUGUGAUUGUUUUUAUAUUAAAUGACUGCUAUCAUAGUUAUAUCAGAUUGUUAUCAGCUGGAUGGUGAAGCCACUAUUUUAUGGACCACAUAUUGAUUGCGACCCAAAUGCCACCCUGUUUUCUAUAUAGUGUACUUGUUUGUCACAUGUUCUCUCACCAGAAGAGUGGUUAGGUCCCAAAUGAGACCCUAUUCCUUAUAUAGUGCACUACUGUUGACCAGAGCCCUAUUCCCUAUAUAGUGCACUUCUUUAGACCAGAGCCCUAUUCCCUAUAUAGUGCACUACUGUUGACCAGAGCCCUAUUCUCUAUAUAUAGUACACUACUUUUGACCAGAGCCCUAUUCCCUAUAUAGUACACUGCUUUAGACCAGAGCCCUAUUCUCUAUAUAUAGUACACUACUUUUGACCAGAGCCCUAUUCCCUAUAUAGUACACUACUUUAGACCAGAGCCCUAUUCCCUAUAUAGUACACUGCUUUAGACCAGAGCCCUAUUCUCUAUAUAUAGUACACUACUGUUGACUAGGGCCCUAUUCCCUAUAUAGUACACUACUGUUGACCAGAGCCCUAUGGGGAAUAGGGGGCCAAUUGGGACGCAGUCUGUAUGUGAAACUGGUCAGUUUUUAAAUGUAUGUUUCUGGGGUUCUUAUUGGUAGUCUGAUUCUCUGAUCAUGUCUGUGGUUGUUAUGGUUACCGUCUGGUCCAGUUCAUACAGACUGUUUUGGUUGUUGUUUCUUUGUUCUGUCCGCUGUUUAUCUCUCUCUCGUUUUGUGGUUUAACUGUCUGUGGUCAGGUUCUGACCAAUCAGAUGCCUCUGUGGUCAGGUUCUGACCAAUCAGAUGGCUCUGUGGUCAGGUUCUGGCCAAUCAGAUGCCUCUGUGGUGGUGUUGUGACUACUGCUGUCUCAGUACUCCUGGAGGACCCCUGGUGUUUCUGAUAGAUUAACUUCCGUCCAGCCCGGGAUUCAAUCAAAGGCGCAUUGUGGAUUAUUAGCACACCAAAUUAGACUGUUCAAUCUAAUGUAGACUUCAGCUGACAUCCGCAGCGUUUACCAUGAAUACCAUCUCCACGAAGGUCAGAGAAAUGACCUGCUUAAAGGUGCAUUGUGGACAGUGCGCCUUUGGUUGAAUCCCAGCCACGGUCUCAUUCAGACCUGGGACACCAAAUCAUGUAUCAAAUACAUGUCCCAAAAUGGCACCCUAUUCCCUACAUAGUGCACUCCUUUUGACCAGAAUAGCACCCUAUUCCCGAUAUAGUGCACUACAUUUGACCAGAGCCCUAAAAGUAGUCACAGUAUAGGAAAUAGGGAGCAAUUUUGGACAUCAUCAGUGCUUCAAUCCCAAAUGGCUCACUAUGUAGUCUACUACCUUUGACCAGAGGCCAUAGGGGAAUAGGAGGCCAUAGGGGAAUAGGAGGCCAUAGGGGAAUAGGAGGCCAUAGGGGAAUAGGAGGCCAUAGGGGAAUAGGAAGCAUUUGGGAGGCCAUAGGGGAAUAGGAGGCCAUAGGGGAAUAGGAGGCAUUUGGGAGGCCAUAGGGGAAUAGGAGGCCAUAGGGGAAUAGGAGGCCAUAGGGGAAUAGGAGGCCAUUCAGUGUCUGUCAGCCCUCCAGGUCUAGUUUGACCUUACAUCUCCCUGGUUAAAUGGAACUGGAUUCGUCACUCACUGCUUCUCAAUGUUUUAUGGAGUGUAUGUAUAUUAUUAUAUGAUCACAUUUUAAAACAACUGAUGUGUUGACCUCUAAGUACCCUGUGAACUGUUUGUGUUGAGAAAAAAAUUAAAAUAAAUAGAUUUAUGUAAAAUUUGA
rnacentral:lncRNA from 1 species